rnacentral:rRNA from 1 species
GACGAACGCUGGCGGCGUGCUUAACACAUGCAAGUCGAACGGAAAGGCCCUGCUUUUGUGGGGUGCUCGAGUGGCGAACGGGUGAGUAACACGUGAGUAACCUGCCCUUGACUUUGGGAUAACUUCAGGAAACUGGGGCUAAUACCGGAUAGGAGCUCCUGCUGCAUGGUGGGGGUUGGAAAGUUUCGGCGGUUGGGGAUGGACUCGCGGCUUAUCAGCUUGUUGGUGGGGUAGUGGCUUACCAAGGCUUCGACGGGUAGCCGGCCUGAGAGGGUGACCGGCCACAUUGGGACUGAGAUACGGCCCAGACUCCUACGGGAGGCAGCAGUGGGGUAUAUUGCACAAUGGGCGGAAGCCUGAUGCAGCAACGCCGCGUGCGGGAUGACGGCCUUCGGGUUGUAAACCGCUUUCGCCUGUGACGAAGCGUGAGUGACGGUAAUGGGUAAAGAAGCACCGGCUAACUACGUG